rnacentral:rRNA from 1 species
GAUGAACGCUGGCGGCGUGCCUAAUACAUGCAAGUCGAGCGAAUGGAUUAAGAGCUUGCUCUUAUGAAGUUAGCGGCGGACGGGUGAGUAACACGUGGGUAACCUGCCCAUAAGACUGGGAUAACUCCGGGAAACCGGGGCUAAUACCGGAUAACAUUUUGAACCGCAUGGUUCGAAAUUGAAAGGCGGCUUCGGCUGUCACUUAUGGAUGGACCCGCGUCGCAUUAGCUAGUUGGUGAGGUAACGGCUCACCAAGGCAACGAUGCGUAGCCGACCUGUGAGGGGGAUCGGCAACACUGGGACUGAGACACGGCCCAGACUCCUACGGGAGGCAGCAGUAGGGAAUCUUCCGCAAUGGACGAAAGUCUGACGGAGCAACGCCGCGUGAGUGAUGAAGGCUUUCGGGUCGUAAAACUCUGUUGUUAGGGAAGAACAAGUGCUAGUUGAAUAAGCUGGCACCUUGACGGUACCUAACCAGAAAGCCACGGCUAACUACGUGCCAGCCGCCGCCGUAA